GGAGUGCUACUUCUUCACUUGUCGUCGUCUUCAAUUCGAUUCAAGAUUGUCAAUCACAGUGGCACCACCCCACCCCCACCACGAACCCAACAAAACUUAUCUGUCUUGGAUUGAAGUUUUCAAGCUUUACAAAGUGAGAAUUAUUAAAUAAUGGCAGUAGUGGCCUCUGCUCCUGGAAAGGUUUUGAUGACUGGUGGUUAUCUUGUUCUGGAGAGGCCUAAUGCUGGUAUUGUACUGAGCACAAAUGCUCGUUUUUAUGCUAUCGUGAAGCCACUUUAUGACGAAAUUAAACCUGAAAGUUGGGCAUGGGGUUGGACAGAUG
rnacentral:misc_RNA from 1 species